rnacentral:rRNA from 1 species
GAUGAACGCUGGCGGCGUGCCUAAUACAUGCAAGUCGAGCGGACAGACGAGGAUCUUGCUCCUCUGACGUUAGCGGCGGACGUGUGAGUAACACGUGGAUAACCUACCUAUAAGACUGGGAUAACUUCGGGAAACCGGAGCUAAUACCGGAUAAUAUAUUGAACCGCAUGGUUCAAUAGUGAAAGACGGUUUUGCUGUCACUUAUAGAUGGAUCCGCGCCGCAUUAGCUAGUUGGUAAGGUAACGGCUUACCAAGGCAACGAUGCGUAGCCGACCUGAGAGGGGGGUAGGCCACACUGGAACUGAGACAGGGUCCAGACUCCUAAGGGAGGCAGCAGUAGGGAAUCUUCCGCAGUGGGCGAAAGCAUGACGGAGCAACGCCGCGUGAGUGAUGAAGGUCUUGGGAUCGUAAAACUCUGUUAUUAGGGAAGAACAAAUGUGUAAGUAACUAUGCACGUCUUGACGGUACCUAAUCAGAAAGCCACGGCUAACUACGUG